rnacentral:rRNA from 1 species
UCUGUUUGAUCCUGGCUCAGAAUGAACGUUGGCGGCGUGGAUUAGGCAUGCAAGUCGUGCGAGAAGUGUUUUUUGCUUGCAUUGAACACGGACAGCGGCGAAAGGGAGAGUAACGUGUGGUUACAUGCCCAAGGGUCCAGGAUAGCGUUGGGAAACUGGCGGUAAUACUGGAUGAUAUCUAAGGAUCAAAGGUGUGAUUCCGCCCUUGGAUUGGACCGCAUACUAUUAGCUUGUUGGUGAGGUAAUGGCUCACCAAGGCUGCGAUGGUUACCGGGUGUGAGAGCAUGGCCCGGCUCACUGGGACUGAGACACUGCCCAGACACCUACGGGUGGCUGCAGUCGAGAAUCUUCGGCAAUGGACGAAAGUCUGACCGAGCGACGCCGCGUGCGGGAUGAAGGCCUUCGGGUUGUAAACCGCUGUCAGUUGGAAGGAAAGGUCUGUGCAGAGCAGACCCUGACCGAUCUUCAGAGGAAGGACGGGCUAAGUUCGUGCCAGCAGCCGCGGUAAGACGAACCGUCCAAACGUUAUUCGGUAUCACUGGGCUUAAAGCGUGCGUAGGCGGCUUGGUAGGUGUGAUGUGAAAGCCCACGGCUCAACCGUGGAAUUGCGUCGCAAACCCCCAAGCUUGAGGAAGACAGGGGUGUUGGGAACUUAUGGUGGAGCGGUGAAAUGCGUUGAUAUCAUAGGGAACACCGGUGGCGAAGGCGCAACACUGGGUCUUUUCUGACGCUGAGGCACGAAAGCUAGGGUAGCGAACGGGAUUAGAUACCCCGGUAGUCCUAGCCGUAAACGAUGAACACUGGGUUGAGGGGACUUCCACAUCCUCUCGGCCGUAGCGAAAGCGUUAAGUGUUCCGCCUGGGGAGUAUGGUCGCAAGGCUGA